UUCAGAGGUCUCGAGCGUUGUUCGGAUUUACUGGGCGUAAAGGGAGCGUAGGCGGCCGGGUGUGUCGAAUGUGAAAGCCCACAACUCAACUGUGGAAUGGCAUUCGAAACUACCUGGCUAGAGUACUGGAGAGGAGAGCGGAAUUCUUGGUGUAGCGGUGAAAUGCGUAGAUAUCAAGAGGAACACCGGUGGCGAAGGCGGCUCUCUAGACAGAUACUGACGCUGAGGCUCUAAAGUUAGGGGAGCAAACAGGAUUAGAUA
rnacentral:rRNA from 1 species